AUUGAACGCUGGCGGCAGGCCUAACACAUGCAAGUCGAGCGAGCGGCGGACGGGUGAGUAAUGUCUGGAAAACUGCCUGAUGGAGGGGGAUAACUACUGGAAACGGUAGCUAAUACCGCAUACCAUCAGAUGUGCCCAGAUGGGAUUAGCUAGUAGGUGGGGUAACGGCUCACCUAGGCGACGAUCCCUAGCUGGUCUGAGAGGAUGACAAGCCACACGGGAACUGAGACACGGCGCAGACUCCUACGGGAGGCAGCAGUGGGUAAUAUGGCACAAUGGGCGCAAGCCUGAUGCAGCCAUGCAGCGUGUGUGAAGAAGGCCUUCGGGUUGUAAAGCACUUGCAGCGGGGAGGCGUUACCCGCAGAAGAAGCACCGGCUAACUCCGUGCCAGCAGCCGCGGUAAUUC
rnacentral:rRNA from 1 species